rnacentral:rRNA from 1 species
UACGGAGGGUGCAAGCGUUAUCCGGAUUCACUGGGUUUAAAGGGUGCGUAGGCGGAUCUGUAAGUCAGUGGUGAAAUCUCCAGGCUUAACCUGGAAACUGCCGUUGAUACUACUGGUCUUGAAUGUUGUGGAGGUUAGCGGAAUAUGUCAUGUAGCGGUGAAAUGCAUAGAUAUGACAUAGAACACCAAUUGCGAAGGCAGCUGGCUACACAAAUAUUGACGCUGAGGCACGAAAGCGUGGGGAU